CCGGCAUGCCCCACCGCGGCUCGCACAGCAAGAUCUCUUUGGUUUGGGAAGUGGGCUUGUGUGUGGUAACAAGACUAUUUCAAGGAGAGAGUUACCCAGUCUUUUUAUGAGAAAUCUCUAUUGAAUGUUUCUGAACUUAUGAGGAGCCAUUUAUGUAAAACCAGAAGAGUCUACACUCCCAGAAAGAAGACUGCGCAAGCAGAGGCCCCCAGAAAUGAUUGUCCCUGAGCUAACAUCUGUGCCAGUCUUCCUCUACUACGUGUGUGGGAUGCCUCCACAGCAUGGCUGAUGAUGGAGUAUGUCUGCAGCCAGGAUCCAAACCUGUGCACCUGUGGACCUGGGCUGCAGAAGUGGAGCAUGUGGAACUUGAACCACUCGGCCACAGGGCUGGCCUCUAGUCGUUUCAUUUUAGAUCUGUAAAGGUUUGGGAAAAAUAAUAUGCUUUAAGAAUAUGGCAUUGAUAUACUUUCUGUUGUGUUUAAUUUUUUCCCCAGCACUUCUUGAAACUUGUGGUUUGAUUUAAAUUUAUGUGCCUUAAUUUAGUGUGAAUUUUCAUGCUAAAGAUAAUUAAAUAUCACACAGAAAGCACAUUUAUUAAUAUUUUUCAUAAUUGUAUAAAUUAAUAGCAUAGUAUACUACAUCACAAAUUGAAAAAUCAGAAAAUAUGUAUUCAUCAGAUUACAAAUAUAUAUAUAUUGGAACACCUACUAGUCACCAGCCCCAGUGUAGGCACGAGGAUAGGAUGAUGAGCCAAACAGAGGUUUCUGCCUUUCUGUAACUUAUAGUCUAUUAAGGUAGGCAUUUAUGAAAUAAAACAUUCUGAUAAAUAUAUAAUUAAAAAUUAUGAAUUAUUUGUUGGAUAUGACACCAAA
rnacentral:lncRNA from 1 species